GUUUCAGAGCCCCACUCAAUGCCACCGUUUGUGCUCCUCCGAACGCUCAUGCCUGGGGAUGGGGCAGCUGCCAGCACAGGGGCCAUGUCAGGACCACGGGGAAUUUGGGAGAAGGCACACGGCCAGCACUCUGUGGUGCCUGUACAGCCUGGCAGCAGGGGAUGUCGUUCCAGGAUUACAGACGUUGGGUGUCUAUCCUUGGGCUCUUGAUAAGAUCAGACUGGCAAGGCGGUGCCGCUGGCAAAAUGCCUUCACCCAGCGCCCGCGAGGCUGUGCCAGGAGAAGAAGCAGGGACGUGGUCGGCACUGCUGGCCUCGCCGCAACCAGCGUGUGAUGGAGGUGGCUGAGACCGCGGCAGCUGCUGACCAGGCUUGGCUCUGGCCGCUGGCCUCCUGCCUCCAGAAAGGGAGCAAUGGCUCCUCCAGCCAUGGCU